GCAUAUCAGUAAGCGGUGGAAAAGAAACCAACCGGAAUUUCCGUAGUAACGGCGAGUGAAUCGGAAUUAGCCCAGCACCGAAUCUUGAAGUGUAUGCUUCUGAGAGUUGUGGUGUAUGGAUGAGCUUUAUGGUAGCAUAUGCAGGUCUAAGUCCGCUUGAAUGAGGCAAAUAAUCCAAAGAGGGUGUAAGGCCCGUAAUAACCGCAUAUGUUGCCUUAGGGCUUGUCUUAGAGUCGGGUUGCUUGUAAAUGCAGCCCAAAGUGGCUGGUAGACUCCAGCUAAGGCUAAAUACCGGGACAAGUCCGAUAGCAAACAAGUACUGUGAAGGAAAGUUGAAAAGAACUUUGAAGAGAGAGUUCAAUAGUACGUGAAACCGCUCAGAUGUAAACGGGUAGAGCCGAAAUAGAUGCGUGGGAUUAAAUCUUGUGUUCUUACUUGUUGGCUAAGUUGAUCUUACGACGACUUAGCAAACUGUUGUGAGUUACGUGGGAUGCAAUUUCCAUUAAUCUAUACAGUGACCGGUGGUAUCAUUUGAUUCGUGUAUGGUGUUGUUCACAUGUGUUUCGGCAUGUGUGUAAACCUGUACAGUCUUGAGUGAACGCAUCGAAAUGUCGCGGUGUGGUAAUGAAUACCUAAAUCGUGCGAUACAUUGGUGAAACUUCAUUUGAAGGUAGCUGAUGAUAUUACAGCGAGGUCUUGUAUUCUAGGUCACACUGCAGUUGUCACCGUCUUUACGUAGGUCAUCUACCCGACCCGUCUUGAAACACGGACCAAGGAGUCUAACAUGUUCGCAAGUUGUUGGGUUUUAUGAAACCUGAUGGCACAGUGAAAGCACAGGUCUGUCUUGUACAGUCUUAGUUGGGAUCCUCACAUGAUGGGGCGCACCAACAGGCCGUCACACGUGCAUGCACAAGGUGGCGUACCAAUAGCGAACAUGUUGGGACCCGAAAGAUGGUGAACUAUGCUUGCACAGGUUGAAGCCAGAGGAAACUCUGGUGGAGGACCGCAGCGGUUCUGACGUGCAAAUCGAUCGUCAGAUGUGAGUAUAGGGGCGAAAGACUAAUCGAACCAUCUAGUAGCUGGUUCCCACCGAAGUUUCCCUC
rnacentral:rRNA from 1 species